ACAGCAGCGACGCUGCGACCGUGCGGCAACGAAACGAAACUACGACAUCGAUCUGGCGGCGGCUGGUUGACGGGCCUGUGCGAACGAAUUACGGAAAUAAACGCGUUGACGCGGAAUGUCGGUGGUGCUAGUGCAUUAAAAUAUACUCAAUAACGUUCUGUGCAUCUAGAUAUUAUAAUGUUACUUCGUUUAUGUGCUUAGUGUAAGAAAUAUAGCUACUCGCAAAAAGUGAAGUGAUUUGGUGUAGUGUUCUCAGGAAAACCUGACUUAACGCCUUUGGAGUCCACUGCCGAUCGUGCAUGGUGCCAAGAAGACAUCCUUUGGACUGCUAACAGAGAAAAGCUACAGGAGCGAUGGCGGACACUGCCACAGAGCCGCUGCCGAACGGCAACGCGGCGGCCGAGGAGGAGGAGAGACUGAAGCAGCGUCCAGCGGACAUUGACGCUG